GACGAACGCUGGCGGCGUGCUUAACUCAUGCAAGUCGAACGGAAAGGCCCUGCUUUUGUGGGGUGCUCGAGUGGCGAACGGGUGAGUAACACGUGAGUAACCUGCCCUUGACUUUGGGAUAACUUCAGGAAACUGGGGCUAAUACCGGAUAGGAGCUCCUGCUGCAUGGUGGGGGUUGGAAAGUUUCGGCGGUUGGGGAUGGACUCGCGGCUUAUCAGCUUGUUGGUGGGGUAGUGGCUUACCAAGGCUUUGACGGGUAGCCGGCCUGAGAGGGUGACCGGCCACAUUGGGACUGAGAUACGGCCCAGACUCCUACGGGAGGCAGCAGUGGGGAAUAUUGCACAAUGGGCGGAAGCCUGAUGCAGCAACGCCGCGUGCGGGAUGACGGCCUUCGGGUUGUAAACCGCUUUCGCCUGUGACGAAGCGUGAGUGACGGUAAUGGGUAAAGAAGCACCGGCUAACUACGUGC
rnacentral:rRNA from 1 species